GUCGAGCGGUAGCACAGGGGAGCUUGCUCCCUGGGUGACGAGCGGCGGACGGGUGAGUAAUGUCUGGGAAACUGCCUGAUGGAGGGGGAUAACUACUGGAAACGGUAGCUAAUACCGCAUAACGUCGCAAGACCAAAGAGGGGGACCUUCGGGCCUCUUGCCAUCAGAUGUGCCCAGAUGGGAUUAGCUAGUAGGUGGGGUAAUGGCUCACCUAGGCGACGAUCCCUAGCUGGUCUGAGAGGAUGACCAGCCACACUGGAACUGAGACACGGACCAGACUCCUACGGGAGGCAGCAGUGGGGAAUAUUGCACAAUGGGCGCAAGCCUGAUGCAGCCAUGCCGCGUGUGUGAAGAAGGCCUUCGGGUUGUAAAGCACUUUCAGCGAGGAGGAAGGUGGUGAGCUUAAUACGCUCAACAAUUGACGUUACUCGCAGAAGAAGCACCGGCUAACUCCGUGCCAGCAGCCGCGGUAAUACGGAGGGUGCAAGCGUUAAUCGGAAUUACUGGGCGUAAAGCGCACGCAGGCGGUUUGUUAAGUCAGAUGUGAAUCCCCGGGCUCAACCUGGGAACUGCAUUUGAAACUGGCAAGCUAGAGUCUCGUAGAGGGGGGUAGAAUUCCAGGUGUAGCGGUGAAAUGCGUAGAGAUCUGGAGGAAUACCGGUGGCG
rnacentral:rRNA from 1 species